UGCUGCUUCCCUCUUGUUCCACCGCUCACCUCCUUUGUUGCAUGGUGGCUGCCCUUCCUCUGCCGUGGCGUCUGCUGGUCGUUAGCGUCACGACGACCUCAAAUCCGGGGCGCGGCAGGCUCGAUUUUGGCGGCACGACGGGCUCGAUUCCGGCCGCUGUAGGCUCGAUUGAGGGUCUAGGGCAUCUCGUGUGGGCCUGGUGUGGUAGCAAGAGGGCAGUGGCGUAGUGUCGGGUCGCCUACGGAAAUGUACGGUCGGGGCAGUUUUAUUCCCGCACAACGGCGUAAGUGAGUUUUUACCAAAUGGAGUUUUGGUUACCUAUAUUUGAGUAGAGAGGAAAAUUUGAGUGAUUACCUAAAAAUUAUAGAGAUAGGUAAGCCGGUGGAGUGAUUUUUUUGCAUCUAUUUGGCACAAUAACAGUUUUAACCAAUUUGAUUAAGCUGCUGGAGAUGCUCUUGGCCACAUGUGCUCUUUCUUUUUUUAUGGGGAAGAUAUAUUAAGGGCCUCUUGGGAUCAUGGGAUUUUUGAAGGAAAAAUAGAAGAUUACAAUCCUAAAUAAUAAUUCCUAUAAAUGCCAUUUGGAUCAUAGGAUUUGCACCAAAGGAAUUUCAUGGGAUAAGAAAUUUUCUUUCAAAUUUUGGAGGACUCAUCUUUGAAACUUUCCUUUGGAAGUUCCAAUGCAUCUCCUCUCUAUCUCUCUCCUCUCUUAUUCCGUCUAAUCACAAAAACACUAUUUUUUUCUAUGGAACAUUCCAAACACUCUUUUAUAAUGUCGUUGUUCUCGACAACAAUUAGAGUAAGGGGUGCCAAUGCUCGAUGGCACAAGUGCGGGUAUAAAGGUAGGGCGUGUACACCGGCUUUAUAGCGAAAGUCGCCGUACACUUGGACAAGUUGACACGUCGAUAUUUUUGAAUAGAUUCGGUCGACCCUUCAGGUGCGACUUAAUCCUAUGUUAGGAAUGGCUUCGAAGGGGUUGUUAGCCAAGGGUUUGGAUCGAGCAGAUCUUCCCAAGACACCUUUUAGCGAGAGAUUCGUUGGGGCCGCCUCGUAUUUGGACCCAACGCGUCUUUCCAAGUAUCGAGGUUAGGAUACCCUCGGAACUCUAACCCAACCCCAUCUCCUUCGAGCCCGUGCCAACAAGGUUAGCUCGGAGCCUCGAAACUAGAGUCCCCUAGAAGGCUUCCUCGAGGCCGAUCGACUUUCAGUCGAGAGCGGCGCGCGAGAGCGAACCUUAGGGGGAGCACUCUAGCCCUCUCCUCUUGAGUUUAUUCAAGUGAGAGUGAAUGGUACAUGCCCCCAUGGGGAGGGUAUUUAUAGCCUAGGGUCCAUGACAAAAGACCAUGGCUACCCUUGAGGGAGAGAGAAAAGUUGGAGCAAAAUGGUAAAAGUGGUUCCUUGGUCCAUAACUUUUGUGUGCACAAUGAGGGGGAAAGUGAGGGUUGGUCCAUGGUCCACCAUGGACCAAAAGCCUCAUCCCCACAACUUUCUUGCCCCCUACUCUAACUCAUCCCACCCUUUGAUCAUGGCAUGAGAGGCUUGACUUGUUGACUUGUCUUCUUUUGCCACGUAGGAUUGACUGCGCCACGUGGGCGUCUUGACUCAUGCUUAGGAAAUGUUGACUUAGUCGUCGCCACGUAGGAUUUACGGCCCGGCCCAUAUAAGGAUUUUAUUUUACUACAACAGUAGCCCCCUUGAGCAUGAGGCUUUGAGAAUGCCUUCGGGUCAACCUUCGAUGCGAGACUUUUGAUCCUUUUUCUUGUUCUUGUAUUCAUGAUGGUGUCUUUGAUGGAUUCCCUGGCGAGCUUCCUUGUGAGAAACGGAGGUACUUGGUGGUUCCUGCAAAGAACAGGAGCCUUGGAGGCGUUUCGGGGAAAUUCCAUGCCUACGGCGAUUUUCCCUGCGAGAAAUCGAGUUCCGAGGGGUAUUUUAGCAAAAACCGGUACCCCAUGGGCCUCUCUGCGAGAAAACCGGCGUCCGGGAGGACUUUUUUGCAAAAAUCAAGGGCCCUGCGGGCCUCCCCGAAAAUUCCGAGGUCUUAUUGGUAAUUUUCCCGAAAUCUUGGGCCUUUUUGCAAAGUCUUCGAACCCUGCCUGCUUCGCGAGCUUGCUGGGUUGGCUUUGCGCGCGCGGACGCGAGUUUGGGCCGAAGCUUGGGCCGCCUUCGAGCGCGCCACCCCCCCUUUUUUUGCGGGCCGGCUUUUUGGGCCACUGCUGGGCCGUGGCCCAGCCAGGCCCGAUAUCGGUUCAGGCGUUAGUAGGGAAAUCGGACGGUCUUGAAAGACCGGGCGCCCUAGAUCCAAAGGAUAGGAACCCUUCUUCCUCCUUUGUACGGGGGAGAAAAAGUGGCCGAGCCACAGCCCCCUUUUCCUCCGUCCUGGACAUGGUGACGCCGGCGGGAGGUGACGCCGGUGCUGGUCGUCUGGUCGGGGCGGCCAGAGGAGCCCCCCCCCCCCUCCUUCCUUUUCUUCCCUCCUUUUCCUUUUGCAAAUUUGGGACCCUUGUUUUUUCCUUGCUUUGGACAGGGCAUACGACUGCGAGGUGUCACCUCGUCAUUGGCCCGACUCGGACGCCUAGGAGCUCCGGUGGCCUAUAAAAUGGCACCCCUGUCCACUGGAGAAGCCUACACCAUGCUCGUUUGAUUUGUCCGGCGUCGAAGACGAGUUCGGCGGCGCCCGACAUCUCUUCGAGAGGUUGGUGUAUUGUAGGCGCCCCACAGGGGCAUUAGCCACUAGUUAGCAACGAUGGAGGUCAUGUUGGUUGCCAAGGAACCGCCGAGGAAGCUUCUCGUCAUCGAAUCUUCGUGAGGGCGCGGGGUGCAUCUGAGGCCGCUAGGAGCGAGGUGCCGAUCGUGCCUCCAAGUUCUCCCGGGAGACCCUCGUCGUCGGCCGCGUUCUUCCUGCUCCUGUGGAGGUGAGGGCGGCCUUGUGGUAUCAUUUUUCAUGUCUUCUAGGUGCCGCCGAUCCUUGCGGGCGCGUGCUCGAACACCUUCGGUGCGUCGUGGCUUGGCAUGGGCGCGGGCAUGGCCGGGCGCGACGCGGGCGCGCAUGCACUGCGGGAGCGGCGAUGGCGCACCGAGGGGCUAGCAAGGCGCGGUGUGGGCGUGCGCGGGGCACGGCGCGGCUAGACGGCGUGCGGCGGGGGCGCGGUCUUGGUGCAGCGAGUCGUGGCGCGCGAGAGCGGGUGCGAGCGGGGGCGCUGCGCGGCGAUGCGUGCGAAUGCGGGCACGAGGGCGCGGCGCGCGCGAACGCAAGCACAAAUGCGGCCGCAAGGGGGCGACGCAGCUUGGACUUGGCGCGCAGGGGCAUUUCGUUGAAUGCGCGGAGGGCACGGGCGGUAGCCUGCCCUGUCGUCCUCCUCCUUUUUUUUUAUGUAGAUGGGCCGAAGAGGGAGUGGGCCUGCGGCCCUAGGAGCUUCGGCCUCCUCUUUUUUGUUUUUGCGGCGCGGGACGGAGGCUUCGGCCCAAGGAGCUUACCUUCCUUUCCUUUGCCGAUUCUUUUCGGAACUUGACCACAUUUUGCUAAUUCUUGGUGGAUCUUUUUGCAGGUGAGAUGGCGGGGCCCGAUGUCGAGUGUCCGGCCGGUGACCUGUCGAGGGGGUCUUCCAAGGGGUCCGCGGCGCAGCGUGCGGCGAACCGACCGUCGCGGAAGAAGGUCUCCUUCCGCCCUCGUGUUGGUCCUCCCUUGGUCCCGACAGCGCGGUGGACGGCGGAGGUUGGGCACACGACCACCUUCUCCCUUUUUCGAUGAGCCCCGAGGAUGUUGUCCAGCUGGAGGAGGCGGGAUACUUCCCCAAGGGGGACGGUAUCCUGCCCGAUGGCGAGGAGGUUAGGCUCGACCAGCGGCGGCGUCCGGAAUGCAUCGUGGCAUUCUCGGCUUGGUUCCACGCCGGCCUGUGUGUGUCUGUUCACGCCUUCUUGCUGGAGUUCCUGGAGACGUACGACAACGAGUUGGCCCAUCUUCACCCGUCGAUGAUCGUGAGGUUGAAUGUUUUCAGGUGGCUGUGUGAGACGGCGCUUCACGAGGAGCCUUCGAUGAAGUUUCUGCUGUUCUACUUUACCGUGGGGGUGAGGGAGUUGCUCACUCCGGACGGCUUUGCUCUGAGCGCCUUUGGUUCGGUGAACCUGAGGCUUCGUUCCGGCUUUGGGGACGACUUCCUGCUCAUGCCAGGGAAGAGCGCGGAGAGGUUGUUCGUCAAGUGGGAGUCCCAGUGGUUUGUCCUUCGGGCCUCAAAGACCCGUCUUCGGCACACGGGUGAUCUCCCUCGGCACUCUGGGGCCGGAGGCCUCAGGGAGAUGUCUCACCCCGGCGAUCCUCGGUCGGCCGACCUCUGGAAGGUGGCCAAGAUCAAGGAGGUGUCCGCUGAGAGGAGCUUUCGUGACCUCAUGGAGGAGAUGAUGAUGGCGGGGCGCUUCAUGAUGAGGAGCCGUCCGAGGUUUGAGAUUGGGGUCCCUCGAUCUUUCCGUCCUCCACAACUCGUCACCGCACGUGAGUGGCACUCCUCUCCCCUUCGUGCUUUGAUUGUUUUCCCUUGUGAAGCUACUUAACAAUUUUGGCUUGUCUUUUUGAGCGACGUUUUCCGAGGAGAGGCGGCGUUGUGGGCCGCGCAGCUGAUAGGUCCGUAUGGCGGACCGGAGCACCGCGACUACGAGACCAAGAUCAGCGAGGGGGGAUGCCACAACAUCAUCGUGAAGUGCUUCGGGAAGAUGGUGCCGAUGCGACAGGACCCGAAGCUUGGUCGCCUUCUCCGAGUGGGCGAUCGCUACUCCCGCUUGGCUACACCGUCGAUGUUGGCGGUGGGGUCCAAGUUACGGGACUCUUGUGGGAAGGCGAAGGUGGGAACGGCGGUGCUGGGCUUUGCGGUGCCUGUCACGCCGGUCCUCGAGAUACCUCGUUCGUCGAGUGGAUGCAAGAGGAAGGCUCCCCCGACUCCUUCUCCUUCUCUUGACUACGCCCCGGCGGAUUCGGCGGAUCCUAUCGUGGGCGAGUCGAGGUCCCCCCUGAGGGUGACCUUGGACCUGCACAUGAAGGGAAAGAUUGGACUUGAGCAAGUUCUUCCUCCUUCAAGUCACGAGAUUGAGGCUUUCACUCGCGAGACGGGGCUUCGGCUUUGGAGCGACUCAGUGGUCGAGUUGUCAACCAGAGCCAGUGGUGUGGGCAUCCAGGUGUUCUCCAUUGGUCGCGAGCGUCCCGAGGAGGAUGCUCCUACCUCGGGUGAGUGCUCUUCUCUUUUGGUCAUGUCAUUCUUUUUCCGAAUGAUAUUGACAUGAUCUGCUUGGUUUGUUUUCAGGUGCGAGGGUCGCGGAGCCCGGGGUUCUUGAGGGCGAGCCCCCGACUCGAGUGAGGGAUGGAGCACUUCCGACGAACGAGGAUGGAGCGAGAGACCCUUUCGUGACACUGGAGCUAGUGAGCAUCCGUGACGUAUCUCCCUUGGUCCUUCGGGUUAGCUUGUGCUAACUCUCUCCUCUUUCUUGGUGAGGGGUUUGGUCGAGGCCGUGGGUGCCCUUCCUGCCCUCAAGACUUAGGUGGGGGCGCUUUCCGCUGCUUUGGAUGUGGAGAUGUCCAAGUCUACCCUUGCCUUGAGCGAGUUGGCUUCAGAGAGGGUGCGGCGCGAGGCCGUGAAGGCCGAGCUUUCCCGCGUUUCAGCGGAGCUUGCGGCCGCGGAGACCAGGGCUUGACUUGCUGAGGAGCGUCAGAAGGACAAGAUUGCGAGGACCCAUCGAGUUGAGGAGGACUUGGUGGUGGCCAACCUUGAUAGGGAGCAUGCCCGUGCGGAGGCUGCUUCCCUCAACGUGGAGUUGGCGGCAGCGGGUGACGGCCCGAUGCUUACUCCUCGUGCUCGCCCUCCUCCGAAUCGUGUCUCGAGGUGGUUUCGCUUUUACUUGCUCAGGCCACCGAGAUUCGGGAGACGAUGAUUUGCUUGAGGAGUGUUCCCUAGCCGGAUCUUCCUCCGUGUCGUACGGUGGAUGAGGCGAGCAGGGUGCUUACUUCCCAGGUGGAGCUCAUUGAGCCUAGUGUGAAGAAGUGCCUCCUAAGUACGGGUGCCCGACUUGUUUCGUCGGCGCUUGCGGCAGUCCUGGAUGGCGAUGCCGGGAUGAGCGGACUUGAGGGUGAGAUGUCUCACGGGGCGAAGAAGUUUCUGGUGGACCAGGGUGCUCCUCUUCGCGCUCAGGCUCGACGCUUCGUGCGUUUCCUUGAGCCUGCUCUUCAGGAGGGUGACGGUGAGGUGUGAGCCUCGUCACCCUCGGAGGUGGUGAUGUACCUCAGCUGCUUACUUAUGCGAUGUUGCAUAUCUCCACUUGACUCAGCCUCAUGGCUAGCAUGUUUAGGCUCUUACUCAUAGAGAUUGUAAGGCAGCUUUUUUUGUUGUGUUUCAUGCUUCACUAUGUAGUCAACAUUAUCGGAAAUGUUAACUUAGCUCAGCAUGUAUUUCUCAUGUUUCACCAUGUAGUCGACAUUAUCGGAAAUGUUAACUUGGCUCAACAUGUGUUUCUUGGAGUACUAUAUUUCCUUCUUGUGAAGUACUAUAUUUUCUCAGUUUAUAUAGCUCGCGAUCGUUCGCUAUGAUUGCACUUUUGUGUUAUCAAUUGCUGUCGCCGUUGGGAUACGACUCGGCUUUGGCGCCUUAGGCCAUGGUUACGAGCCAUGGGUCCUAGUACCCUUGUGAGGGUCGCUAUCGAUAUGCCGGUAGUGAUCCGGACAUUUCGACCUGCCGUUCGGGAAAUUUCAUGCGGAAUUUUCCCUCUUCGGACUUCAGGAAGCUAUGCUUUCCCGCGAUUAUUAUGGAUCCUUAAACCGGUUACUAUCAUGCAGGCCCGUGCGCGACGUCUCGCAUACGGCGAGCACGGUUCUCCGAGAUAAGUAAGCUCAUGCAUAACUCGCUAUUUUACGGUUUCCCUUAAAUGCGUUUUAAGGAGCUUCCGGUCCUCGAGGGACUUGGUUCUACUUGGUGGAUGGCCUCGAGGUACGCUAGGAUCCACCAAGGAACAAGUCGCUAGUAGCGACCUAUGUCCGUGGACAUAUUUAGAGGAUGCUCGGGCCAACGGAGGCCUUUCCGCGUUCCUCGGUGAGCGGCACAGGGGCAGCGGCUCUUUUACGACGAUGAGUCGUGUGAGUGUCUCGUGCCACUCUUAAUUUUUCCUCAAAGACUUGCUUUAUUGAUCAUUGCUUCCUUGUCUUGAGGUAUGGCCCGAUGGGCACUUACAAGCCUUAUGUAGACGUGACCUCGUUGGCGCUUACGAUCUCUCGAAAUUUCGUAGGGAAAAGGCCGGUUGGGCACUGAUAGUCUCCUUUUGGGAGCGGCAAGGAUUGCCCUUGAAGGUCCUCCUCAGGCGUAGAAACGCCGGAGCUUGUCGCCGUUCCAGGCAUAGACAAGGUUUUGCCCUUUCAUAUUCUCGAGGUGGUAUGCGCCAUUUUCCAAUACUGCGGCGAUGCGGUAUGGUUCUUCUCAUUUAGGGUCGAGUUUGCGCUAGAACUUUAGGUCGACAUUCUUUUUCAGCAUGAGAUCUCCUUGGGAGAAGGAGUAUUUUUUACAUCUCUUAAUUUUGAUUUGAAUAAUAUCCAGGAUAUAUUUAGCUCUAACAGGUUCACACCAAAUCUCUCUAAGCUUAGGAACAAAACCAGCUUGCUUGAGCCAAGAUAAUUUAAAUUUAAAACCAGGAUUUUUCCUACUCUAAGCCCCAUCAGAAGUGAGAAGAAGGACAUUAUGGUCAGAAAAUGAUCUAGGGAGCUUUCUAACAGAAACAAGAGGGAAAAUGUCUUCCCAAUUAUCAGACAUAAGAACUCUAUCAAGCUUGACCAAGGUAGGAGGGUCUUGACCAUUGGUCCAGGUGAAUUUUCCCCCAGAAAGGGCAAUUUCCCUCAGAGUAAAAGCAUGAAUUAUAGCAUUAAAGUCAUCAAUAAAGUGUGAAUGAUAGUAAUUUUGAUUUUUCUCCUCAGGGCCCCUAAUAAUAUUGAAAUCACCCCCAAUAAUAAAAGGCACAUCUUGCCCAGAAAGGAAGUCAACCAUCUCCAAAAGAAAAUCAUCUUUAAAUUCAUCAUGUGCAGAACCAUACAGAGACAUGAGGUUCCAUUUAAUCUUCAAUUGUUUGUCCCAUAAACAAACCAACACAACAUAUUUGACAACCUUAGACAUAUGAACUUCAAAGGAAUCUUUUUUAACACCCACAAGGAUACCACCAGAUUUCCCUUCAGAAGGAAGCCAAGUCCAAAAGAAGACAUCAAGGGGAUCAAACUUUCUCAAAUAAGCAGCAGAAAUAACAGGUUUUUUGGUUUCUUGCAGGCAAAUAAAAUCAAGAGAAUGCUCCCAAAUUAUCUCUCUAACACAGGUUCCCAUUCCUUUCUUCCCACCCCCCCUACAGUUCCCGAAAAGACCACUAAUCAUGAUAUUUUAAUACCCCCCGUCCUCCUAGUAAUUCUCCCAGACCCAGGCUGAGAAGAAUUCCUAGGAACAACAGGCCCCCCACUGGGCGGCCCAAUCGCACCAACUGAAUUCAGUCGUGAUUGAUGUUUUUUAGACUUCCUAGAUUGGACCAAAAUGAAGUCAUCACCAGGAAUCUCAGGUGGAUCUUCCACCUCUUCCAAAAUAGAAGAGCCAGAAUGAACAAGAGAAAGAGGGACAUCAGAAGGGACAGUAAUAGAGGGAACAUGAAUAUGUGUUUUGAGAGAAUCUCUCGCAGUUUCAAGUUCACGUAAGAUAUUAACACAAGCAAAAUUGUCAUCUAAAAUAAGAGCCCCCAUCGCAUGUGUCCGAGAAAUAAUAGCAUCAUCCUCCAACACAGAAAAGGAAUUAGUAGGGGCACACAUACCUUCAAGGUUCUUCUUUUGUAGCAGUGUAGUAGCCUUCUGGAGGAUAGGAGCCUGUGCCUUCUUGGAUAGCCUAUCACUGAAGCGCACAGGAGCAGCUGCCUUCUUCGCCUUUGGCUUAGUCAGAGGAAUAGGGAUCACAUGAGAUGGUUGAGAAUCUUGAGUUAAAGAACCACCAUCAUCAGAGUAACACACAGGGUCCUCUAGAACAGGAGAAGCAUCAACAGAUCCACGGCCCAAUCUCUUCAGGUGAUAAGGAGACGCACAGUUCCAAUCCACACCAGGGCACAGAGCUUUAAUCAUGCCUUCAACAUCCUUUGGGACAUGAAACAACUGGGCAGGUAGUUCAAGCUGAGAGUGUUUAAGCCAAGGUGACAAUCCCACAUUCACAAGAACAUCCAGAGACACAGUUUCAGGGAUAGCAUUCAUCAUAGGCAACAUAUGUGCAGUGAAGGCCAGAGCUGAUUCAGCUUCCUCAUACAUAGAUUCAACAAGUAAGCCACCAUACAUAUCAUCACUAUCCUCUUCUUCCUCAUCAGCAAGGGGGACUUCCUGCACAGCUUUCUUACCACCUCCAUAGCCACCACCAUCUCCCAAUGUCUUAGCAGGAGCAGACUUAGAUGAAAUGUCAUUACCACGAUGUCUCUUGGGUGUAUGCAUAAGAUCAGAGUCAUGUUCUUCAGAAGGGAUCUCAAUAGCAGUCUCUUUCUUACUAGGGCCAACCACAAUAGAUUCACAUUCAUAAAAUAAAUCAUACAACAGUGUGCCCAAGUAACCCUCAACAGAAGCUGGAAUGCUAUGAGCAUCAACACAACCCAACUUGAUGCGAACAUACUCAGAUUUAGAUAAGGUUGCAACAUCAAUAUCCAAAGUAACUCCAAAUAGAGAGCCCACAUAAGCAACCACCGCCUCAGAGCGCAUGUCCCCAGGAAUGUUACUAACCUUCAAACAGGCUUGGUGCAUCUCCCCUUUAGCACCCACCGAAGGAGUCCAAGGAUUAACAUCAAUUUUUGCUCUAGUAUUUUUGAGCUCAAAGCCCUUGAAGAGAGAUAGUUCGGCAACCUUCUUGGCAUUAGGAAAGCGCAUGACAAAUUUACCAGGACCAAUAGGACGAGCAGAACAUCGCCAAGUACCAGCAAAAACAGGGUUAAAAGCAUCCUCAAUCUGGCGAGCAGAGGCAACACCUUGAACAACAGUAAUCACAACUGAAGAGUUCUUGUCCUUAAGAGAUUUCUCAGAAGGAAUCGGCGGAAUGAAGAAGAAACCUUGCCCUUUGGCUUGAAAACCACACAUAGGAGCAGAAUAAUCCUCGUAAAACUUCAUUGAACACUCACGCACAGCAUGUCCCAGAAGCCCACACUUGCCACAAGGCCCCUUCAAAUUCGGUACCUGAGCUCCACAAGGAGGGGAUGCGUCCUCACGAGGGUGCUUGCGCGGAGAAGCCGUCGGUCGGGCUGGUUGCUGCUGUUCUCCAGCAACACCAGCAGCAACCACCUCGAUGCGGCCCACGGGAACCGUCUCGGUCGCCGUCGUAGCCGCCCCCGUCGGCGCCAGCCACUGAUUCGUUCCCGAGGACUCCUCGGUAGUAGUAGCCAAGGCCGCGUCAUCCCAUCUGGAAUUCCGAGCACCCUGACCACGGAUCUCUUGAUCCGGGCCACAAAUCUGGGGAUCCAGGGCACGGGCCUGGCCCUGCUCAUGGAUCUGAGCUGCCCGAUCCUGAUCACGAUUCCAAACCAAGCCACGACCCCUGGCCUUGACCGCGGCCGCGACCUGCCCCAAAGCCCUCACGCCACUGUCCAUAACCCCCCCGCGCCGCCACCAUGAUGUUACGCACACACGGUGGUUUCACCUGUGCAAAUGUCCGACGGUCACCACUAGCCGUUCCCCGCCAUGCUCCCGUCGGCGCUCCCACCCGCACAGGUGGUGAGGAAGGGCGGCGCCAAAAGUGAGCGAAGAGCGACUCCAAGGAAAGUGCGAGGAGUGGAGAGGGGAAGUUGGACAACCCGCAGGAUGUGGAGGGGAUAUCACACCGAGAAACCGUCGAUCGAUCGCCACGCGUCUGAGAAUGGUGUGUGGAACGUGGCGAAACCCUAGCUCCAGACGCUACCUAGUUUGACCGCACCACAGGAGGCACGCCGAGAAUGGAACAGCCACGCACAGGGACGGGUGCGGGAAUGAUACGUACUGACGUGUGAAGAGCCGAAACCGCUGAGAUCCUUGCCGGUGACGAGAGCGAUCGCGCCGGAGUCGCCAUCUUCUCCUCUCCAGUACUGCAAUCUAUAAAGGACAUCUUCUCUAUGGCAGUUAGUAAUCAGUCCUGGGAUGUCACUUGUGAAGUUGGAGUAUCUCUAUCAGACUAUUACUUCCAGUGAGCUUACCCCCUAAAUUUUGCUUCAGCUUUUGCAAAUCACAUUUAGUAAUCCUUAUGCAGCCCAUCUCUUCAUUAGUUCAUUAUGUUUAUAAUAAUAAGUUGUCACAAAGAAGAAAUAUAUGAAUCAUAGCAUCUUAGGAUGAAAACUUUUAUCUGCUGCCUAUCAUUGGUUCUGUCAUGUUGUAGUUCUGCAGUGAAUGCUUAAGGAGGACAAAGUUUAUCGGGAGUCAGGUAUGCAUAUCUUUUUGAACUAUCUUAUCUUCGUGGUACGUUUUUUACAAGUCAAUUGGGUGUACAUGCUGAGUUCUUUUUUAAUCCUCUAAGAGUGUUCCAGGAGAUCCAAGGACCAAUUUUCCCCAUUAUCAGAUCAUGUCUCAUGCAGAUAUUUUUUGGAGUUACUUUGCUUUAUUUUCUUUUGAUGGAAACUGUUCCAAUGAAUCAAUGUUUCUCUGGUAUCAUUACUUCAAACUAAUCUUUGUAAUAUGUGAUGCAUCCGAAUUAUGAAAAUCAAAUUGUGAUUUUCUUUACAAAAUUGUGAGAUAAAAGAGACUUAGUUCCCCGGUGUGUGAUAUAAAAAUGCUUGGCAAGUACAACUAAUAAUUGUUUUAACCCACAUAUCUCUUAGACUUGCUGUAUUUUGUGAAGCGGCAACACAAUAUUGGGCUUCUUGUUUCCAUGGCGA
rnacentral:lncRNA from 1 species